rnacentral:rRNA from 1 species
UACGAAGGGGGCUAGCGUUGCUCGGAAUCACUGGGCGUAAAGGGUGCGUAGGCGGGUUUUUAAGUCAGAGGUGAAAUCCUGGAGCUCAACUCCAGAACUGCCUUUGAUACUGAAAGUCUUGAGUAUGGGAGAGGUGAGUGGAACUGCGGGUGUAGAGGUGAAAUUCGUAGAUAUUCGCAAGAACACCAGUGGCGAAGGCGGCUCACUGGCCCAUAACUGACGCUGAGGCACGAAAGCGUGGGGAGCAAACAGG